UCCCAAACUCCUGGCCUCAAGUGAUCCGCCUACCUCAGCCUCCCAAAGUCUGCCUGCCUCAGCCUCCCAAAGUGCUGGGAUUAUAGGCGUUAGCCACCGCGCCCAACCUAACUUGGUCUUAAGUGUGAUUUUCUGCUAUGCAUACUUCUGGCUUCACCAGCUGUGGAGAUUGGCUGAGAUGGUCUGUUCAUCCAUAGGCCGCAUGUCUCGCUGAGCAGCCUUCAAUAGAAUGAACAUAGCGGGAAAGGUUUCAUUGCUCUCGCAAUCCUUUGGUUACAUCAAGGAGCAGAUCUCAGUUUGGUACAAGUGUGUCUAACACCUCUCUGAUGGCUUUUUGGUGAAAGAAAGAGGACCUUUGUUAGGCAACAGUGUCCAGCUAGAAUUUAAUCACAUUGUUCUGUUUUCAUUACAUACAGCUUUUCAGGUGCCUUCUGUUCAAGGCAAGUGAUGAUAGCUUCUUGUGUAAGGGAAUGAAAGAAAGUUUCCUUCUUUAACACACUUACUUAAUUUUUAAAAGUGAAGCAAUUAAAUAAAAACAUCAAAAUGUGAUAUGCAAAAUUUAAGAGGGCAUGAUAAAACAGUAUAGGGAUAAGUAAAAAAUUGUGAAGAUGGUGCUUAAAUAACACUUUAAACACUGAAAGCAAGAAAGCAUUUUAUGGGUCAUUGUCCGCUGGCCUCCACCCCUACCCUGUGGUACUAGACUGUUUAGGAUGGCUAAGGCCAUGUCUCAGUGAGCUUACCAUUACAUCCUGGGUAGGUGUAUUACAAAUUUCAUUUGUAAUAAACAAAUGAAAUGUGGGUGGAUGGAUACAUUGUGUGGCUCAGAUCCCUUGUUUUACAGGUGAGAAAAGUCAGGUUUAAAGGAACAGGUGACUUGGCUGGGAGCACUCAGUCAUUUAGUGGCAGAAGGCAACUGUGGCCCCAUCUCCAGUCCCGAGUCCCGAGCCCAUUUCACUAGCACAUGCCACCUGGUAGAGUAUGAACAGAUAGUUACCAAAUGCUCUGCACAGAGAACGUUUAACUCCCAGUCUUAACAAGUGCCAGUGAUCCGUGAGAUACUGACCCAUGUCCUUUAUUUUAGGAGUGUGUCUCUUUUAAACUCCAGAAAUGUUUUUAUGCUUUUAUGAGUGCCCUGAACUUUACAUGGGUGCUGCUAGAGAUUAAAUCCUCCAUCAGACCCCUCCACUCAAUAUUCUCAACAGAAUUUUAUUACUUUAUGAAUUCAACAUCCCCACACACACACACACACAAAAUUAUACAACAGGGACCAAAAACUGAUUAUUGAAGAAAAAUCUUGGGUUUAAUGAGAUCUUAUAUAUUGCCUUUUGAGAAAAAAAUAGUGUUAACUAAUUAUUUCUUGAUUGACAUUCGCGGGGAUCAGCUAAGGCCAAUCUCCAGACUCCAGGGUCACGGGCAUCACUGCUUUAGGAUUAUACCGUGAUUGGUGUUUAAAUUCCUGCUAGGGCAGCCAUCCCUUUCCCAGACAUCCUUGCACAGAAGGAAGCUCCACACAUUGGGCAGGGCAGUAAUGGGAACAUCUGUGUCCUCUCCACAGAUCCACCGUGGGCGCCCUGCUGGCAUCUGAGCUGGGAUGGAAAUUCUAUGAUGCUGAUGACUAUCACCCAGAGGAAAAUCGAACGAAGAUGGGAAAAGGGAUACCGCUCAAUGACCAGAGAUGUAGCCUCGGGACAGCAUGUGGUUCUAGCCUGUUCAGCCCUGAAGAAAAUGUACAGAGACAUAUUAACACAAGGAAAAGAUGGUGCAGCUCUGAAGUGCGAGGAGUCAGGAAAGGAAGCAAAGCGGGCUG